GUGACACACAGUAUGCCAACUGUAGUAAGGAAUGUGAUUUCAAUAAUGGAAGUUUGGAAAUAAAUUCUACAGAUUCCAGGACAAGUACAACUCAACAUUAUAUAUUAACUGCAACAACAUUGAGUACAUCUUCCAACAAACAGAAUAAUAAUAAAACUCUUGCCUUUAAUACAACGGUUGCUACAACUCAGUCUACACAAGAAGCUUUGGCAAAUUCCAAUUCUUAUCCUUCAAUUAAAGGAUAUACAACAACAACGGAGUACAUAUCAGCACGGACUAGUUCCAAUGAAGCGUCUUCAAACUUAUCACUGUCGGCGACAAGCGAUGCUGAGAAUGAGUCUGUCGGUGUCGUAAUAGGAGCGGUGUGUGGCUCUCUGGCUGGAAUAGCAGCAAUUUUAGUCGCCAUCAUCGUAUUGUUGAAAAAAAAGAAAUGGAAGCGUAGAUUAGGUGUAGAACCAGAUAAUUCACCGGAAAAUUAACACAAAGCAAUUGAACACAUGAUUAACAGCCUAACUUUACAAAUGAGAACAAUAAUGUGUGUGUUGCAUAAAUCUGCCAUAAAGAAAUGCUGUAUAUGGCCUUUAUUUUAUUUUUUUAUGUGUUGCAUAUUUGCUUUUUAUGUGCCUACAACUGUUACGUAUAUAAGCAGGGGAAUCUCGGU